UUUAGGAGGAUGGGCAGAGUGGAACAGGACCUAGGAGCAGAAGGUGCUGAGCUGAUUUGGUGGUGUACAUGGUGACCAAAGGAGACUCCUUAUCUGAUCUUCAAUAAAUCAGAGUCCAGCAGCUGACAGAGUGUCUAUGGAGUGCCAACGCUACACUUCACGGAGUCCUGGUUGCUAUGGUGAUGGGUGUCAGUUACACGGCGCCGUCAGUGGGCGAUGAUGUCACAGCCUGCACGGUUCGGCGGGUGAGUGGUCCCGGACGAGCUGGCGGGAAUGCACACAGGGUGAUGAUAUAAAGGAUUCCUCAGAAGAAUUCUUUAGCACAAGGCCUGCUGCAGAUGCUGCUGUGACUCUUCAUUGCAGAAGGGGACCAAGAAGAAUAGUAGUAGUUUCAAACAACAAUUGACUGUAAAACAGCCCUCUGCAAGAGGAAGCAAGUAUAAAGCCUGCCAUCCAGUUGCACAACAGAUCACUGAAUCCAUGUCAGCUAUGCUAGUAUUAGAUCUGUAGCCAAUAUCUGCUAUUAAAGCGUCUGGUUUUAAACAGUUAAUUGAGGUCCUCUAUACCCACUACCAAAUUCCAUCUCAAGUCCAUUUUACCCGAAAAACAAUUCCUCGUCUGUACCAGGAUGUAAAGAAAAAAAUUAUAGGUCCUACAAAAUGCCAUUAUACCCACUGUCCACGUAACAACGGAUAUGUGGACAAGUGGUACUGGUCAAACUAAAGAUUGCAUGACUGCGACCACCUCCUGGGUGGGUGUAUCACCUUCAGCAGCAUCAGUAUGUAACACAAAACGCUAGCUCAUUC